GUAGUAUUCCCUCCGUCCCCAAAUUCUUGUCUUACAUUUGUUUAGAUACGGAUGUAUCUAACACUAAAAUGUAACUAGAUACAUUCGUAUUUAGACAAAUUUAAGGCAAGAAUUUUGGGACGGAGGGAGUACAAA
rnacentral:pre_miRNA from 1 species